rnacentral:rRNA from 1 species
AGGAAAUCCGGUUGAUCCUGCCGGAGGCGACCGCUAUUGGAAUUCGAUUAAGCCAUGCGAGUCGAGAGUCCUCGGGACUCGGCAUACUGCUCAGUAACACGUGGAUAACCUGCCCUGUUCUAGGGGAUAACCUCGAGAAAUUGAGAAUAAUACCCUAUAGUCCACUACGCCUGGAACGGUGAGUGGAUAAAAGCUCCGGCGGAACAGGAUGGGUCUGCGGCAUAUCAGGUAGUAGUGGGUGUAAUGGACCCACUAGCCUUCGACGUGUACGGGUGUUGGGAGACAUAGCCCGGAGAUGGAUUCUGAGACACGAAUCCAGACCCUACGGGGUGCAGCAGGCGCGAAAACUUCACACUGCGGGAAACCGCGAUGAGGGAAUUCCAAGUGUCUGGGGUAAGACCCAGUCUUUUCUUGACUCUUAAUAGGUCUUGGAAUAAGGGGGGGGUAAGACCGGUGCCAGCCGCCGCGGUAAUACCGGCCCCCCAAGUGGUCGUCACUUUUAUUGGGCCUAAAACGUCCGUAGCCGGUUUAGUAAACCCGUGGGUAAAUCAACCAGCUUAACUGGUUGAAUUCUGCGGAGACUGCUAGACUAGGGACCGGGAGAGGUACGAGGUACUCUUGGGGUAGGGGUAAAAUCCUGUCAUCCCAGGGGGACCACUUGUUGCGAAGGCGUCGUACUAGAACGGAUCCGACGGUCAGGGACGAAGCCUAGGGGCACGAACCGGAUUAGAUACCCGGGUAGUCCUAGGUGNAAACGCUGUGGACUUGGUGUUGGGGAUUCCAUGAGGGUUUCCAGUGCCGAAGCGAAGGUGUUAAGUCCACUGCCUGGGGAGUACGGUCGCAAGGCUGAAACUUAAAGGAAUUGGCGGGGGAGCACUGCAACGAGAGGAGCGUGCGGUUUAAUUGGAUUCAACGCCGGAAAACUCACCAGGGCCGACGGACAAAUGAAGGUCAAGUUGACGACUUUACCGGAUUGUUCGAGAGGUGGUGCAUGGCCGUCGUCAGUUCGUACCGUAAGGCGUUCUGUUAAGUCAGAUAACGAACGAGACCCCCAUCCCUAUUUGCUAGUCUAAUCGCAAGAUUGGGCGCACUAUAGGGAGACCGCUGGUGUGAAACCAGAGGAAGGUGGGGGCAACGGUAGGUCAGUAUGCCCCGAAUGUCCUGGGCUACACGCGCGCUACAAAGGACGGGACAAUGGGACGCAACAUCGAGAGAUGAAGCUAUCCUGAAACCCGUUCGUAGUACGGAUUGAGGGCUGUAACUCGCCCUCAUGAAGCUGGAUUUCGUAGUAAUCGCGUCUCAAAAUGGCGCGGUGAAUAUGCCCCUGCUCCUUGCACACACCGCCCGUCAAACCAUCUUAGUUUGGGGUGGGUGAGGCUGCCUUUACAUGGGGUAUUCGAGCCUGCCUUAGACAAGGAGGGUUAAGUCGUAACAAGGUAUCUGUAGGGGAACCUGCAGAUGGAUCACCUCCUU